AUACAAACCUGACAGUGGAGACACUGUGAUCACAAAGGCGGUUUUCCCAGGGCAGGUUCAUCCACUUCAUUCCAGGUAUACUGGCCCCUGCAAUUUCCUCCACUGCAAGAAACUCUGCUGUAUAAUCUGCAGUAGUAGGGGACUGUUCACACUCUCCCCUG